rnacentral:rRNA from 1 species
CCCGCACAAGCGGUGGAGCAUGUGGUUUAAUUCGAUGAUACGCGAGGAACCUUACCUGGGCUCAAAUGUAUGUUGACGUAUUCUGAAAGGGAUACUUCUUCGGACAAUAUACAAGGUGCUGCAUGGUUGUCGUCAGCUCGUGCCGUGAGGUGUCGGGUUAAGUCCCAUAACGAGCGCAACCCCUAUCAUUAGUUGCCAUCAGGUAAUGCUGGGGACUCUAAAGGAACUGCCUACGCAAGUAGUGAGGAAGGCGGGGAUGACGUCAAAUCAGCACGGCCCUUACGUCCAGGGCUACACACGUGCUACAAUGGCCGAUACAGAGGGCAGCUACCUGGUGACAGGAUGCAAAUCUCCAAAGUCGGUCUCAGUUCGGAUCGGAGUCUGCAACCCGACUCCGUGAAGUUGGAUUCGCUAGUAAUCGCGCAUCAGCCAUGGCGCGGUGAAUACGUUCCCGGGCCUU